UGAUGAUGCCCUGUUGUUCUUGGUCACAAUUCCAAAUUCCACAAGUGCCAUCGCAAAGUCAAACAAAAUUAUACCCCUACAUUCUGUGAUGCAAUGACGAUGGAUGAGUCAAAUUGUUAGCCUAGUAGAAAGCAUAGGUUCAUUGGCAUUCCGGAAAUAGAAAGUUCACUUGCCUAUA